AUGUCCAAAACGGAGCCACGGAUGCAAAGAUAUGAUGCGUCAAAGUUUGCACAAAAAAUCUGGAAAUUAGGGUUUCGGGGGAGAGGUCAACCCAGAUCCGAUCUGGUUACUGUAGCUGUACUGUUCACCGGGCGCGGUUACUGUUCAUCCGAGGGCGGAUCCGGCGAUGUGCUCGCCGGCGACGAGGGGCGGUGGCGGCCGGCGACGAGCCGGAGCUCGGGGAAGCGAGGAGUGGUGGCCGGGGACGGCGAGCGGCGCCGCGGAGAGGCGCGGUGGCCGGGGCUCGGCCGGGCGCGGCUCGCGGCGGCUCGCGGCGGAGAGGCGGCGGCUCCCGCCGGCGUGGGAGGCAGCGGCCAGCGACGGCGAGCGGUGGCCGGAGCGGCGUGUGAUGUGGCCGGCCUUGGGGAAGAGAGCCCCGGGCGGCGGCGGGAGAAGAUGGGCCCGCGGGGGCCGGUUACGGGCUCCCCGGGCCGGCGGCGGGGUGAGGAGGCGCGGGCCACGUGGCGGCUGGAGAGUGGUUGGGGGCGCUGGCGGACGUGUCCGGUCAGGCGGCGGACAUGUCCGUCGGUGGCUGGGAGAUGUUUUUUUAGCUAG
rnacentral:rRNA from 1 species